GAUUCGUCACACUAUCAUUAACUGAAUCCAUAGGUUAAUGAGGCGAACCGGGGGAACUGAAACAUCUAAGUACCCCGAGGAAAAGAAAUCAACCGAGAUUCCCCCAGUAGCGGCGAGCGAACGGGGAGGAGCCCAGAGCCUGAAUCAGCAUGUGUGUUAGUGGAAGCGUCUGGAAAGGCGCGCGAUACAGGGUGACAGCCCCGUACACAAAAGCGCAUGUGCUGUGAGCUCGAUGAGUAGGGCGGGACACGUGGUAUCCUGUCUGAAUAUGGGGGGACCAUCCUCCAAGGCUAAAUACUCCUGACUGACCGAUAGUGAACCAGUACCGUGAGGGAAAGGCGAAAAG
rnacentral:rRNA from 1 species